UACGUAGGGUGCGAGCGUUAAUCGGAAUUACUGGGCGUAAAGCGUGCGCAGGCGGUUUUGUAAGCCGGAUGUGAAAUCCCCGGGCUUAACCUGGGAAUAGCAUUCGGGACUGCAAGGCUGGAGUGCGGCAGAGGAGACUGGAAUUCCUGGUGUAGCAGUGAAAUGCGUAGAUAUCAGGAGGAACACCGAUGGCGAAGGCAGGUCUCUGGGCUGACACUGACGCUCAUGCACGAAAGCGUGGGGAGCAAACAGG
rnacentral:rRNA from 1 species